GGUAUAGUGCUGACAGAAACCCGCACCGUAUAGCAACACUCAAAGUAUACUCACAAGAAUACGCUCGAUAAUUUAGAGAGAGAAAGAGAGAAAACUUUGUUUCUGGUGUGAUUUUCAAUUCUAACUUAACCCUCUAUUUAUAGGAAAAUGUUAGAACGCCAAAGGAGACUAAAUUAAUAAAUUAUUAUUAUUUAAAAUUAAAUUUCUACGCAUGCUAGCCAUCAAAGACCAGCAUGCCACUCUUGAAAAUAAAUUUCCAGCAGCCCACAUGUUGUCAAACAAGAGUGGGUCCCACCCAUUAUUUAAUAAAAAUUAUUUUAUCUUCUGAAACUUCAAUAAUUCGUAGAAAAUAGCUCGUUUAUCAGAAAAAUU
rnacentral:lncRNA from 1 species